rnacentral:lncRNA from 1 species
UUUGAAUUCAUAAAAGGAAGAAGGGGAAAUGAAGGUGAUGAGCAAUUGAGCAUUUAGUGAUGAACAAAGAUUAAUGUUCAUCACUAAAACAUGACUUUGUAUAAUAUAGAACAUAUUACAUGUGACAUAAACAUCAAAAACUCAACAUAGUUUUUAUCCUCGCAUCAUGUUGAUACUACACAAGUUUUUCAUAAUGCAAUCAUAGUAAAUCUCCCCAUGAAGAACCUCAACUGCAAUUAUCACUGUUAUUGUCCUCCAGUGUCGUGUCGUCUGUGUUGCUGCAAACAAAAAUGUAUUAAAUACAUACAUAAUACUAUCUUCAUAUGUUUCAAAUUUACAUUAAAUUAUAUUUUUUAUUUUUAGAUCAAACAAAGGGUUUAUUACCUUUCUUCAACAUAUGAUCCUUCGUUAUGGUCCGAUCUUAAGUAAGCAGCGUCAUUAAUAUCAACAUUCAUAGAUGGAAUACCGAUAGAAAAUGGAGGUAGGUUAUCAUGGAUGUCAUCCUCUGAAUCAUCUGUAUCAUCAUAAUUAGAUUCGACAUCAAUUGUGUUGUGAUCAAUCAAUAACUCGCCAUGUUGUGAUCAACACGUAUAUCGAUUCAUAAAUCCUUCAAAUAUCAUAUAUUCUUCUAUUACAUCCAAAUCAUAGACCUUUUUACAAUUUUGGUACAUUUUACAAGGACACCAAAUGUAACAUUCUCCUCUAUGCACCCGACGAUCCUCAACAACUUUAAGAAACUUCUUGAGGUUAUGUACAUAUUCACUGCUAGCCCAUGGUAGUCCAUACAUCCAAGUUUCAUGAUACACCUGUGUAAUAAAAUACCACAAAAAGAAAGGAUUAGAGUCAUCCCACAAAAUAAUAACAAUGUAAAAGGUAUAAUAUAAUAUAAAAUAUAAAUAUUAACUAUCUGUUCUAUCAAUGGGUCGGUUGUUCUCAGUAACGUACAGCUCCAAGAGCGUGCAAUACUCAAGGACUGUCAAGUAGUAUUUUUCAUUCCAAUGUUCAUGUUAAUUACAAUUGAUUUUAACAAGAGGGUGUUUGAAUUUUAAGAUUCCAAUAAUUUUGUUUGGGGACAAUAAUUUUGGGGAGAGAGUAAUACUUACUUCUAAAUUAGUUCAGCUAGGUUUGAUAUUAAUAUCUAACACUUUUAUUUUAUUUUUUUUCAUUUUCCUUUUCCUUUUUUUGAUUAACUACUUUUUUUUAGAUUCUUUUUAGCAUAAUUUCAGAGUGGAGGAUAUCUUUUUCAGGUAUCAUAAAAGCGGCCUUAAUGCAGUUUUUGGUACAUCAAAAUAUAUUUCCGACAAGAACAGUUUUUGGUUUUGGAGAAAUUAAGAAAACAAGUUACGGAAAAUAAGGUGGGGAAGGGCUUUUCUGGAAUUGGAAUCGGAAUUGGAAUUGUUUGUGAUUUCCGUGAACUAAUGGCGGGAGUUGUCACAUUGCAAUCAAGUAAAAAAUGCGUUUUUAUUUUUUUAUUUUGUCCAAAUUUGAAUUUUUGUUACACCUGUUUGCAGUUAUUCAUGGUGAAAAUUCAAGAAGGAAGAUAUUUUAGCCAUGUCUGCAGCUGGAAGAUGUCUACAAAGGUAAUUUUAUUUUAUUUUAGAAACUAAAUAUAAUUAUAAUAACAAAAUGGUUGUUUUUUUGUAUAUAGGGUAUGUUGCAAGAUAAUCUUCCGAUUAUGCCCUCGGAUGUUAUAGAGCUGCAGAAGCUGAUCAUCAAGGGAGACAUGUCCCUGACUCAAAAGGAGCAAGAAAAUACAGCUUUGAGGGACCAAAUUAAACAAUUUGAAACACAUUGGUCUAAACAUGAAAUUAAAAUGAAGUCUGUGGAGGAAACUUGGCAAAAACAGAUUGCUUCUUUACAGGUCACUUUACCAUUUUACCCUUUUACAAUUUGGAAUUUUGUCUUGUGAUUAACCUUAGUUGGUUUGGGCUAGUGACUUUACCCUUCUACAAUUGAGUUUAAUUUCUUACCCUUUUACCAAUGAAUUUACAUUAUUAUCCUUUUUUUACAAGUGAUUUUACCUUUAUACCCUUUUACAAAUAAGUGAGUUUACUUACCAUAUGGUUUGUUGUUGAAUGGUGCAGAAGAGUUUGGUUGCAGCCAAGAAGAGUUUUGGGGGAGGGGAUUCAGGGGGGAUGGCAUUAGCAACAUUUCUUUAGGAACUCAAACUCUUGUGGAAUACAAUGGUGGUGGGGUGGUGGCGGAUCAUCUAUCAAAGGAGUUGGAUCAAAAAACACAUGAUUUUGAUGAUGAUGCUAAAACCAUUAUUGGACAACAACAACAACAGAUGCCUUAUCUCAAACAAAUGGAAAAGUUUAAGAAGGUCAAAGAUAGAUUUGAAAUAUGGAAGAAAGAGUACAAGAAUCGAUUAAAGGAGACAAGGGCAAAAUUGGUAAAAGGUGUAAAUGGGGAAGGAGGGACAAAACUGUCAUGGUAGGGGAAGUUAAGCAAGAGAUAUUAACUAGUGUUUAUAGGUUUGCUUGCUCAUGUUGUUUAGAAAAAGAAAAAAAAAAGGAAAAUCUUAUAUCAAAUGGUAAAGUGUUAUUUUUUUCUUCUUAUUUUAUAUUGUUAGGGUAUUGGGUUUCAACUGUUAUAGUGAACUGUGAAAAUAUAUGAAAAGAUAAAUUUUUUUUUUUUUUUUCAAUUGUGAUAAUUUGAUUUGGUUUCUUGAUUUGGUAUUUUGAUUUGGAUGGGUGUCAUGUGUUUAAGUUAUAUAUUGUAUCAUAUAUGUUUAGAUUGUUUUUUCAUUUGGAUUGAAUCAUGUGGUUUUGCUCAAUGUAUGUUUAGUUCUUAACUUCAAACUAGAUAUUAUGUUUAAGAUAAGUCCUUAAUUUUAUAUUUAUGAUUAUAAGUACAUUCUUUUCAUUUAUAGACGUAGGGUAAAUUGGGUUUAUUUUCAUAAAAAUAGAAACAAAUUUUAUGAAUGUAGUGUUUUAUUCAUUUAUUCAGAUAUUUUGAUAGGCUUGAUGAAAAAGGGAAUGUGGUCUCUGUUAGUUACAAUGUUCAUGUUAAUUACAAUUGAUUUUAACAAGUGGGUGUUUGAAUUUUAGGAUUCCAAAGUCAUUUGGUUAAAAUUAAACAAUAAGUUUUCAAAAUAGAGAUCCUACCAUUUGAUUUUGCAUCUCGAUCACAGGCGCUCCCUUAUCCAUCGUGAAAUAGUUGUAGUUCCUUUGUAUUUUUGCCUGUGUUUGUCUGUUGCAAAAACAGAAAUCAAAGCUCUUGCCGUAUGAUGAUGAUGGUCCGGUGGUGGGUUGGUUGAAUUAUUGGAGGUGCGAGGCGAGGCUGGCCGGUGAUGAUGGUGUUGCGACAGGGGAGAUAGAGAUAAAGGACCGAUUAGUGGUGUAGAGAUGGAGGAAGGGUGGUGUUAAGGUGUUGGGUUGGGCGGAGAAGUGUAGGAGGAGGAAGCUGAGUACUAGAUGUUGUAAGCUGAGGAAGCUGAGUACUUAUUCAGCGUAUUCAAUUUAGGUAUUGAGCCGUACUUUAUUCCAAAAUGUGGCGUAUUUUAUUUAGGUAUUUGAUCUUGUUUCUAGUACAACACAUUAACCGUAUUAGAUGUUGUAAUUGGGCGUAUUAUAUUUAUUUAGCCCUUUCUAAUACGGUUUUUAUUUACAACCGUAUUAGAUGUGGGUGUACUGUAUAGCCUGUUUUCCAGUAGUGCUAGCUAGAACUCUAACUAAUGUUUGUAACUUUAAAAUUAGGUGUAUGUUACAAACAUAUGUGUAAAUUAGUGGAUCCCCAACUACAUUAAAGGCCCUUGUUUUUAAAACAAUCAGAUAGAAAGUGAAC